rnacentral:rRNA from 1 species
AAUGGCGAAAGCCUGACGGAGCAAUGCCGCGUGUGGGAUGAAGCAUUCAGAUGUGUAAACCACUGUCAGAAUCUAGGAAUACUGACCAGAUUCAGAGGAAGGGCCGGCUAAUUCCGUGCCAGCAGCCGCGGUAAUACGGAAGGCCCGAGCGUUAUUCGGAAUCACUGGGCUUAAAGCGUACGCAGGCGGACUUGUAGGUAUCUCGUGAAAUCCCACGGCUCAACCGUGGAACUGCGGGGUAAACCACAAGUCUUGAGGUAAGUAGGGGUCAGUGGAACGAUGUGUGGAGCGGUGAAAUGUGUAGAUAUACAUCGGAACGCCAAUGGCGAAGGCAGCUGACUGGGCUUAUCCUGACGCUCAGGUACGAAAGCGUGGGUAACGAACGGGAUU